rnacentral:rRNA from 1 species
UACAGAGGUCUCAAGCGUUUGUCCGGAAUUAUUGGGCGUAAAGAGCUCGUAGGCGGUGUGUCGCGUCGGCCGUGAAAACCUGCAGCUUAACUGUGGGCUUGCGGUCGAUACGGGCAUCACUGGAGUUCGGCAGGGGAGACUGGAAUUCCUGGUGUAGCGGUGAAAUGCGCAGAUAUCAGGAGGAACACCGGUGGCGAAGGCGGCCUGCUGGGCAGUUUAGCUGACACUGAGGCGCGACAGCGUGGGGAGCAAACAGG